rnacentral:rRNA from 1 species
AGUCGAGCGGACAGAAGGGAGCUUGCUCCCGGAUGUUAGCGGCGGACGGGUGAGUAACACGUGGGUAACCUGCCUGUAAGACUGGGAUAACUCCGGGAAACCGGAGCUAAUACCGGAUAGUUCCUUGAACCGCAUGGUUCAAGGAUGAAAGACGGUUUCGGCUGUCACUUACAGAUGGACCCGCGGCGCAUUAGCUAGUUGGUGAGGUAACGGCUCACCAAGGCGACGAUGCGUAGCCGACCUGAGAGGGUGAUCGGCCACACUGGGACUGAGACACGGCCCAGACUCCUACGGGAGGCAGCAGUAGGGAAUCUUCCGCAAUGGACGAAAGUCUGACGGAGCAACGCCGCGUGAGUGAUGAAGGUUUUCGGAUCGUAAAGCUCUGUUGUUAGGGAAGAACAAGUGCAAGAGUAACUGCUUGCACCUUGACGGUACCUAACCAGAAAGCCACGGCUAACUACGUGCCAGCAGCCGCGGUAAUACGUAGGUGGCAAGCGUUGUCCGGAAUUAUUGGGCGUAAAGGGCUCGCAGGCGGUUUCUUAAGUCUGAUGUGAAAGCCCCCGGCUCAACCGGGGAGGGUCAUUGGAAACUGGGAAACUUGAGUGCAGAAGAGGAGAGUGGAAUUCCACGUGUAGCGGUGAAAUGCGUAGAGAUGUGGAGGAACACCAGUGGCGAAGGCGACUCUCUGGUCUGUAA